AGAUGGUUGGAGAUAGCAGCCCUCCAGGUGCUGACACAGAACGCUCCCUGUUCUUUGUUCCCACCGGUGACAGACAGAGCGGAUGGCGACUUUUUCACUGGAUCCCUCUCUUACCUCCCCAGUGGCCACGGCUCCUCCUCUCCGUCUCCCUCUGCCAGCCCUGCCCAUCAAACCCCCAAUUCUCUCCGUCCCUUUGUCCAUUACGCUCUCCUUGUCUUCAGCCAAAAUAGUUGCAUCUACGGCCAUUUUGACCUACUUCUAACACCC
ensembl:lncRNA